AGCAGAAGAGGAGAGGAGGUUGUGUGGGACAAGUUGCUCCCGACAGAAGGAUGUCGCUGCUGAGCCUGCCCUGGCUGGGCCUCAGACAGGUGGCAAUAUCCCCAUGGCUACUCCUGCUGCUGGUUGUGGGCUCCUGGCUACUCACCCGCAUCCUGGCUUGGACCUAUGCCUUCUAUAACAACUGCCGCCGGCUCCAGUGUUUCCCACAGCCCCCAAAACGGAACUGGUUUUGGGGUCACCUGGGCCUGCUGCCAUUGCACUCAAGGAUGAUCUCUCCAUCAGGUUCCUGAAGCCCUGGCUGGGGGAUGGGCUCCUGCUGAGUGGCGUUGACAAGUGGAGCCGCCACCGUCGGAUGCUGACACCCGCCUUCCAUUUCAACAUCCUGAAGUCCUAUAUAACGAUCUUCAACAAGAGUGCAAACAUCAUGCUUGUGAGUCCCUUGAAGUCUGGGUCCCAGCUGGAGUCUUGGGGUGGAGGGACCAUGGACACAUCUGGUCUGGAAUUUUGGCUCUUCUGGGUGGCACUGGGCCAUUGCUCUUCCUCUCUGAGCCUUGGUUUCCUCAUCUGUAAAAU
rnacentral:sRNA from 1 species